rnacentral:rRNA from 1 species
CACUCUAAGACUAUGACUUAAAGCAAAUCCUGCUCAAUGAUAAGUUUAAAUAGCCGCAGAUCUCUGUGCUAAGGUAGCAUAAUAAAUAGCCUGCUAAUUACAGGAUAGCAUGAAAGGACAAACAUAUUUUCAUCUAUAUUUUAUUUUUCAUAAAAAUCAAACUAAAAGUAAAAAUUCUUUUGUUUUUAAGAAAGACGACAAGACCCUACAAAACUUUAACUUAAGUUUAACUGGGGCGGUCAUCAUAACCAUAUCUUAUUUCUCUUAAUAUCCUAAUCUACCUAAAUAAUUAAUCCAAGUUACUUUAGGGAUAACAGCACAAUUUUUAUCUAAAGAACUUAUCAAAAUAAAAGAUUAUGACCUCGAUGUUGAAUUAGAAUUUCUUUAUUACGCAAAAGUUUUACCAAGUAAGUCUGUUCGACUUUUAAAAUUCCACAUG